rnacentral:lncRNA from 1 species
GUAAGUGGAGUUUCUGCAAUGGUAAUUAGGAGGGCCCUCAUUACCCUGGCGGAGCCGGCUGAGAGCCGAUAAAGCCGAGGGGGAGAAGGGCCGACAUCAGGGAUGAGGGUGUCGAGGAGGGUUCCAGGCCAGCGUGCCUGCCUCGCCUCCAGCCCGGGGAUGGGCCUCCAGCGCUUUCCAGGCUAACUCAGCGAGCCCAGUCUUCUUAGUCAACUGAGAGACAUGUCUACAGAACAGACCAUGUGGCCAACUCCUCCUCCUCCCCAUGCCCCAGGCAAGAGGACUCUGGGAAGACAUCCAGGAAGCAAGGAGUCUGUAGCCAGCUGCCUUCAGAAGCCCAAGGUCAUUGGCCCUGCCACUCUGGUUUGCCAACUCCUCAAGGACCACAUAGGCCCAACUGUUAUGGAAAGGGUGGACCAGAGAGAGGGGCUUCUUUUCCUUCGGCUUUGGGGAAGGCAAAGGCAAUUCCUGCCACUGCCCACUCCAGAGACGGCCGCAUCUUCCAGGUGACUAAAGCCCCCACCCCCACCCCCAGACUGGAGAGAAGAAAAGGAAUUGGAGGAGAAGGAAUGGGAUAAGGGUGGGGGUUUUCUGAGACCCACAUUCUCUCUGACAUGCCCACUGAGCCUCCCCACAGGAAAACAGGAUUAUGAAAGAAAUACUAGAAGUAUUCUCCAAGUUGGGUUGGGCUUCAGAAAGCCCUUUUGAUAUAAGCCAAAUACCUCAGAUGGCCAAGGGAGUGGCCUGGCCUCAGUCUCCUCAACUAAAUCACCAGUUCCAAGACAGCAGGGAAUAAUAAAGAUAAAAAUAAUAUAAUAACGACAGCUAAC